CCUACGUGUGGCAGCAGUGAGGAAUAUUGGUCAAUGGGCGCGAGCCUGAACCAGCCAAGUCGCGUGAGGGAGGACGGCCCUACGGGUUGUAAACCUCUUCUGCCGGGGAGCAACGGGCGUCACGUGUGGCGCCACUGAGAGUACCCGGAGAACAAGCAUCGGCUAACUCAGGCCGAGCAGCCGGGGUAAUACGGAGGAUGCGUGCGUUAUCGGGUUGUAUUGGGUUUAAAUGGUGCGUAGUCGGAUCGUAAAGUGAGUGGUAAAAUUGAGGGGCUAAACCCCAUCCUGCCAUUGAAACUGGCGUUCUUGAGUGGAAGAGAGGUAUGCGGAAUGCGUGGUGUAGCGGUGAAAUGCAUAGAUAUCACGCAGAACCCCGAUUGCGAAGGCAGCAUGCCGGCUUCCGACUGACGCUGAAGCACGAAAGCGUGGGGAUCGAACAGGAUUAGAUACCCCUGUAGUC
rnacentral:rRNA from 1 species